UACGUAGGGUGCGAGCGUUAAUCGGAAUUACUGGGCGUAAAGCGUGCGUAGGCGGUUCGUUAAGUUCGUUGUGAAAGCCCCGGGCUCAACCUGGGAAUGGCAAUGGAAACUGGCGGGCUGGAGUAUGGCAGAGGGGGGUGGAAUUCCGCGUGUAGCAGUGAAAUGCGCAGAUAUCAGGAGGAACACCGAUGGCGAAGGCAGCUCGCUGGGACGGUACUGAUGCUGAGGCGCGAAAGCGUGGGGAGCAAACAGG
rnacentral:rRNA from 1 species